CUGCCCAUCAAGCGCGGCUUGUGUGUUGGGCCACCGUCCCCCCUCGGGGGGGGACGGGCCCGAAAGGCAGCGGCGGCACCGCGUCCGGUCCUCGAGCGUAUGGGGCUCUGUCACCCGCUCUGGAGGCCCGGCCGGCGCCUGCCGACCCCAACCUUUUUUUAACCA
rnacentral:misc_RNA from 1 species